rnacentral:rRNA from 1 species
UACGAAGGGGGCUAGCGUUGUUCGGAAUUACUGGGCGUAAAGCGCACGUAGGCGGAUUCUUAAGUCUGGGGUGAAAGCCCGGAGCUCAACUCCGGAACUGCCUUGGAUACUGGGAGUCUCGAGGAUGGAAGAGGUCAGUGGAAUGCCGAGUGUAGAGGUGAAAUUCGUAGAUAUUCGGCGGAACACCAGGGCGAAGGCGACUGGCUGGUCCAUUUCUGACGCUGAGGUGCGAAAGUGUGGGGAGCAAACAGG